UCGCUGGUGCUGCAGGGCGGCCGCGUGGUCGGCUACGGCCCGAUCGAACAGGUGCUCGCCAAGCCGGAGCACCCGUUCGUCGCCGGUCUCGCCAC
rnacentral:tRNA from 1 species